rnacentral:rRNA from 1 species
UACGAAGGGGGCGAGCGUUGUUCGGAAUUACUGGGCGUAAAGGGCGCGCAGGCGGCUCUGAAAGUCAGAUGUGAAAGCCCCGGGCUUAACCUGGGAAUUGCAUUUGAUACUCUGGAGCUUGAGUACGGGAGAGGAGAGUGGAAUUCCCAGUGUAGAGGUGAAAUUCGUAGAUAUUGGGAAGAACACCGGUGGCGAAGGCGGCUCUCUGGACCGUAACUGACGCUCAUGCACGACAGCGUGGGGAUCAAACAGG